GCAGCACUGGAUGAACUGAAGGUUGGCAUUCUUCGAAAAAAGUGGGAGAAGUCAGAUGAUGAAGUAGCAGAUGAUGUAGACUAUAAUUACUUCGAACUGGUAUCAGUCGUCGGGUUUGACCACAUUCCUUGUCGGGACAUUACUUCACCCCCCCCCUUCUGCUACUGAAUAAUGAGAUGACCAGCAGACGAAACUGGAAGGCCGAUGGAAAUCCAGAGAGCUUGACAAAUGACGAAAGUCCAGUGAAAUCGGGAACAAAGAAGAGGGGGCGCAAGGAAUGUGGAUUUCGGGGAAAUGAUCCGAUGACUGUUCGUGGCAGGGGUGGCUGUUCAGCGGGCCUUGUACUUUAUCGGACCGAAGACAUCUGAGCGAUUUAAUUCAAGAAGAAAGAGGGGAACAAACGGUGACGCCGAUAACGCGUUUUUGGUGAAAGUAACGGCAAUAUAAUAUCAGGCGUCAGCCGGUGAUUGACCUCGCGCAUGAGUAGGACACGCAACCAGGAACAGCCUGUAGUCCAUGGUUUGGGAUUGGGAAAAUAAGUAAGCAACUAAACUUUGUUAGUUCAAAGUGAGCAACCGUUUUCCAAAGUAUACUGGAUAGCGCACCCCAUAUUGCGGUGCACAAAAAUCCCUGAUUCAACUUUCUGAGCCUCUUAAAUAAAUAAUUUGCGGGUUAAAGAUUACAUAAACUGUUAUUUUAAAAAACGGGUGUAAAUAAGAAUAAACUUAGUGUGCAUAAAACAGCCUGAAAAAGUCCAGCUGCCCUUUUGUGAUUAAGAGUCUCUCGAAAUAGUAGGCGCAUGAGCGUAUUUGGGUCUCCAAAGAUGGCGCCCACGGGCGUCCAACAAACGGUCCAGACGCUCUUCAGAGAUGCAUUUUUUAAUGAUAGGCCCUGACCGAGAUUGUCCAGUUCAUGAAAUUAUAGGAAAACCGAUUAGGUACUGUUACUUGAAAGGCAGCUGGUAUGAAUUUAUCUCGAUUUGGUUACAUAUGGGGGAAAAUUGCUGUGUACUGCGUGCAUAUAGUAAAAACUUCGUGUCUUUGAGAAACAAUUGCCUGAUUUGUUAGAAUGCUGAUCAGUCAACUGAUCCUGAGCUAUCACCAAGACCUUUGUUUGUUUUUCAGAAUAAUGCAAGUUUCGUACUGCAUGUUUGUUUGUUUCAAUUUUACUUUACUUAAUCAUCUUUUGUUUAUUUUGGAGCAGCAUGUCACAUGUAUUUAAAUUAUUCUCUGUAAUCGUGCAUGAAAUCGUUGUUGUCUUGGUGAAAUAUGAAUCCUUAUCAUUUAAUGGUGGUGUCUCCACGAGACGCUUUCUGACGUCAGAACCCUUCUCAGAGAUCGAACAGCUCUUACGUUUGAUAUAACAGGUCAAGAAACUUAUAAUAGUAUCAAAAUCGCUGUAGGGCGGUAAGCCACUGACACUAUCGGCAGAUGAAUACUAAAUUCAUUUUCCAAAAUACUCUGGCAGUGACGUGGAUAACUAUAUAUAUACAGUAUUAAAUUGCCCUGUCUGAAAAAGACGCAUUGCUGAAUGGGUGAGAGAUUCUUUUCCAAGUUAAAUUCUCCAUCUAUACAAACUCUUUGGCCUUCCGUUCAACAAAAUUAUGAGCGUCUUGCAAUCUAACUAUAACCUUGGUUUGUGUGCAUUGUAACAUGUAUAUGUAGGUGUGAUACUUCCCCAGCCUUAUCGCUGCCCUCGGCAAACAAUGUUUACCUUCUCUGAAUCUUUUGACGACUAA